GUCAACGUAGUUUUCUGCCAGAAGUUGAUUUUUGUUAAGUAUCUCUAAUAAUGGAAUAAGCGACAUUUUUCUGUAAAAUUAACGAUUCGCGUAUUAAUAAAAUGAGCAAUAAUCUUUGUAUGAUGCAUGUAUAUGAAUAUCUAUAAACCCAAAACUAUAUAUGUAAUAAAAAAACCUUAAACCCUUACAACCUUUAACACGCCCUCUAUAGGAAGUCAAUAUAGUUGUUGGCAAGGUUGGGACCCUCCCACUCGUUUUAUUGAGCUAGGCAUCUCAUGCCACAAGAAAAUGAGGAUUGAUU
rnacentral:lncRNA from 1 species